CCGGGUAUAGCGCAGUUGGUAGCGCGCUUGAUUUGGGUUCAAGAGGCCGAGCGUUCGAAUCGCUCUACUCGGACCA
rnacentral:tRNA from 1 species